GACGAACGCUGGCGGCGUGCUUAACACAUGCAAGUCGAACGGAAAGGCCCUGCUUUUGUGGGGUGCUCGAGUGGCGAACGGGUGAGUAACACGUGAGUAACCUGCCCUUGACUGUGGGAUAACUCUAGGAAACUGGGGCUAAUACCGGAUAGGAGCUCCUGCUGCACGGUGGGGGUUGGAAAGUUUCGGCGGUGGGGGAUGGUCUCGCGGCUUAUCAGCUUGUUGGUGGGGUAGUGGCUUACCAAGGUUUUGACGGGUAGCCGGCCUGGGAGGGUGACCGGGCACCUUGGGCCUGCGAUACGGCCCAGACGCCUACGGGACGCAGCAGUGGAGAAUAUUGCACAAUGGGCGGAAGCCUGAUGCAGCAACGCCGCGUGCGGGAUGACGGCCUUCGGGUUGUAAACCGCUUUCGCCUGUGACGAAGCGUGAGUGACGGUAAUGGGUAAAGAAGCACCGGCUAACUACGUG
rnacentral:rRNA from 1 species